rnacentral:rRNA from 1 species
UACGUAGGUGGCGAGCGUUGUCCGGAUUUACUGGGCGUAAAGGGAGCGUAGGCGGACUUUUAAGUGAGAUGUGAAAUACCCGGGCUCAACUUGGGUGCUGCAUUACAAACUGGAAGUCUAGAGUGCAGGAGAGGAGAAUGGAAUUCCUAGUGUAGCGGUGAAAUGCGUAGAGAUUAGGAAGAACACCAGUGGCGAAGGCGAUUCUCUGGACUGUAACUGACGCUGAGGCUCGGAAGCGUGGGAGCAAACAGGAUUAGAUACCCCGUACGU